AUUGAACGCUGGCGGCAGGCUUAACACAUGCAAGUCGAGCGGAGAUGAGGUGCUUGCACCUUAUCUUAGCGGCGGACGGGUGAGUAAUGCUUAGGAAUCUGCCUAUUAGUGGGGGACAACAUUCCGAAAGGAAUGCUAAUACCGCAUACGUCCUACGGGAGAAAGCAGGGGAUCUUCGGACCUUGCGCUAAUAGAUGAGCCUAAGUCGGAUUAGCUAGUUGGUGGGGUAAAGGCCUACCAAGGCGACGAUCUGUAGCGGGUCUGAGAGGAUGAACCGCCACACUGGGACUGAGACACGGCCCAGAAUCCUACGGGAGGCAGCAGUGGGGAAUAUUGGACAAUGGGGGGAACCCUGAUCCAGCCAUGCCGCGUGUGUGAAGAAGGCCUUAUGGUUGUAAAGCACUUUAAGCGAGGAGGAGGCUACUGAGACUAAUACUCUUGGAUAGUGGACGUUACUCGCAGAAUAAGCACCGGCUAACUCUGUGCCAGCCGCCGCCGUAAUAC
rnacentral:rRNA from 1 species